UUUUCCCACGGCUUUCUUGAACUUCUCAUUCGGAACUGUUAUCAGUGCGUCCGGCCGAUGCCCACAGAACUCAUCAUGAAGUUCAAGAAAGCCGUGGAAAAAUAUAA
rnacentral:pre_miRNA from 1 species